rnacentral:rRNA from 1 species
CCUACGGGGGGCAGCAGUGGGGAAUAUUGCACAAUGGGGGAAACCCUGAUGCAGCGACGCCGCGUGAGUGAAGAAGUGCUUCGGCAUGUAAAGCUCUAUCAGCAGGGAAGAAGAUGACGGUACCUGACUAAGAAGCCCCGGCUAACUACGUGCCAGCAGCCGCGGUAAUACGUAGGGGGCAAGCGUUAUCCGGAUUUACUGGGUGUAAAGGGAGCGUAGGUGGUGCGGCAAGUCAGAUGUGAAAGCCCGGGGC